UUAAGCUAAGAAGAGCGUAGGGAGAAUGCCUUGGCAUUAGGAGCCGAUGAAGGACGUGAUAAGCUGCGAUAAGCUGCGGGGAUCAGCAAGUAUGAAUUGAUCCGCAGAUUUCCGAAUGGAGCAAUCCGUAUGUGUAUGCACAUACAUCAUAUACUGAAUCAAAUAGGUAUAUGAGGGGAACCGCCUGAACUGAAACAUCUAAGUAGGGCGAGGAAGAGAAAUCAACCGAGAUUCUGUGAGUAGUGGCGAGCGAAAGCGGAAGAGGCUAAACCAUAGGUAGCAAUACUUAUGGGGUUUCGGACAGCAUUUAGUAUUGAUAAUUUCUAGUUGAAACGUGUGGGAAAACGUACCGAAGAGUGUGAGAGUCACGUAAGCGAAAGAGAAAGUCAGCGAGCUGUAUCCAAAGUACCGCGGGACACGUGAAACCCCGUGGGAAGAUGGGGGGACCAUCCUCCAAGCCUAAAUACUACCUAAUGACCGAUAGCGAAUAGUACUGUGAAGGAACGGUGAAAAGAACCCCGGGAGGGGAGUGAAAAAGAACCUGAAACCCUAUGCUUACAAGCACCGAGAGCACGUCAAAGUGUGAUCGGGUACCUUUUGUAGAAUGGUCCGGCGAGUUAUUGUAUGCGGCAAGGUUAAGUGCUUAAGGCACGGAGCCGAAGCGAGAGCAAGUCUGAAUAGGGCGAAAAAGUCGUAUGCAAUAGACCCGAAACCGAGUGACCUAUCCAUGUCCAGGCUGAAGUGGAGGUAAAACUCCAUGGAGGGCCGAACACACGUCCGUUGAAAAGGCCGGUGAUGAGGUGUGGAUAGCGGAGAAAUUCCAAUCGAACUCGGAUAUAGCUGGUUCUCUCCGAAAUAGCUUUAGGGCUAGCCUCGUGAAAGAUUACUGGAGGUAAAGCACUGAAUGGGCUAGGGGUCGAAAGAUUACUGAACCCUAUCAAACUAAGAAUGCCAGAUAAUUGAUUCACGGGAGUCAGACAAUGUGAGAUAAGUCUCAUUGUCAAAAGGGAAACAGCCCAGACCCACAGCUAAGGUCCCUAAACAUUGUUAAGUGGAAAAGGAUGUGGGGUUGCAUAAACAACCAGGAUGUUGGCUUAGAAGCAGCCACUCAUUAAAAGAGUGCGUAAUAGCUCACUGGUCGAGUGACCCUGCGCCGAAAAUUCAACGGGGCUAAACAAUGUACCGAAGCUUGGGAUUCUAAAGUAAUUUAGAGUGGUAGGAGAGCGUCGAAUAAGGGGUGAAGUCAGAGCGGAAGCGCUGGUGGACUUUAUUCGAGUGAGAAUGCCGGAAUGAGUAGCGAGAAUUAUGUGAGAAUCAUAAUGGCCGAAAAUCUAAGGUUUCCUGAGGAAGGUUCGUCCGCUCAGGGUAAGCCGGGGGCUAAGGCGAGGCGGAGACGCGUAGCCGAUGCACAUACGGUUGAAAUUCCGUAGCCACCGAAAGAUUUAAGUACAGGGACGCUUUAGAAGUGAUGUUGCCGGGCGAUGGUUGACCCGGUCGUAAGGGAUCGAAAAUGAGUAGAGAAGUCAUCAUGGAAAGAGACAAGAAAAGCUGUAUGAAUAUCUUAGGUGCCCGUACCGCAAACCGACACAGGUAGAUAGGAAGAAGAUUCUAAGGCCAACGGGAGAAGGGUUGUUAAGGAACUCGGCAAGUUGACCCCGUAACUUAGGGAUAAGGGGUGCUCAAGUGAUUGAGCCGCAGAGAAUAGGCCCAGGCGACUGUUUAGCAAAAACACAGGUCUCUGCUAAAUCGAAAGAUGACGUAUAGGGGCUGACACCUGCCCGGUGCCGGAAGGUUAAGAGGAGAUGUGAGAGCAUUGAAUUGAAGCCCCGGUAAACGGCGGCCGUAACUAUAACGGUCCUAAGGUAGCGAAAUUCCUUGUCAGGU
rnacentral:rRNA from 1 species